rnacentral:rRNA from 1 species
UGUCUCUCUUGAGUGGAUCCUGAGUACGACGGAGCACGUGAAAUUCCGUCGGAAUCUGGGAGGACCAUCUCCUAAGGCUAAAUACUCUCUAGUGACCGAUAGUGAACCAGUACCGUGAGGGAAAGGUGAAAAGCACCCCGGAAGGGGAGUGAAAUAGAACCUGAAACCGUGUGCUUACAAGUAGUCAGAGCCCGUUAAUGGGUGAUGGCGUGCCUUUUGUAGAAUGAACCGGCGAGUUACGAUUUGAUGCAAGGUUAAGCAGUAAAUGUGGAGCCGUAGCGAAAGCGAGUCUGAAUAGGGCGUUUAGUAUUUGGUCGUAGACCCGAAACCAGGUGAUCUACCCUUGGUCAGGUUGAAGUUCAGGUAACACUGAAUGGAGGACCGAACCGACUUACGUUGAAAAGUGAGCGGAUGAACUGAGGGUAGCGGAGAAAUUCCAAUCGAACCUGGAGAUAGCUGGUUCUCUCCGAAAUAGCUUUAGGGCUAGCCUCAAGUGAUGAUUAUUGGAGGUAGAGCACUGUUUGGACGAGGGGCCCCUCUCGGGUUACCGAAUUCAGACAAACUCCGAAUGCCAAUUAAUUUAACUUGGGAGUCAGAACAUGGGUGAUAAGGUCCGUGUUCGAAAGGGAAACAGCCCAGACCACCAGCUAAGGUCCCAAAAUAUAUGUUAAGUGGAAAAGGAUGUGGCGUUGCCCAGACAACUAGGAUGUUGGCUUAGAAGCAGCCAUCAUUUAAAGAGUGCGUAAUAGCUCACUAGUCGAGUGACACUGCGCCGAAAAUGUACCGGGGCUAAACAUAUUACCGAAGCUGUGGAUUGUCCUUUGGACAAUGGUAGGAGAGCGUUCUAAGGGCGUUGAAGCAUGAUCGUAAGGACAUGUGGAGCGCUUAGAAGUGAGAAUGCCGGUGUGAGUAGCGAAAGACGGGUGAGAAUCCCGUCCACCGAUUGACUAAGGUUUCCAGAGGAAGGCUCGUCCGCUCUGGGUUAGUCGGGUCCUAAGCUGAGGCCGACAGGCGUAGGCGAUGGAUAACAGGUUGAUAUUCCUGUACCACCUAUAAUCGUUUUAAUCGAUGGGGGGACGCAGUAGGAUAGGCGAAGCGUGCGAUUGGAUUGCACGUCUAAGCAGUAAGGCUGAGUAUUAGGCAAAUCCGGUACUCGUUAAGGCUGAGC